GAUGAAGAACGCAGCGAAACGCGAUAAGUAAUGUGAAUUGCAGAAUUCAGUGAAUCAUCGAAUCUUUGAACGCACAUUGCGCCCCUUGGUAUUCCGAGGGGCAUGCCUGUUCGAGCGUCAUUUCAACCCUCAAGCACAGCUUGGUCUUGGGCUUCGCCGCUAACCCGGCGGGUCUUAAAAUCAGUGGCGGUGCCGUCGGGCCCUGAGCGCAGUAAUCUCUCUCGCUAUAGGGUCCCGGCGGAUGCUGGCCAGUAACCCCCAAUUUUCUAUGGUUGACCUCGGAUCAGGUAGGGAUACCCGCUGAACUUAAGCAUAUCAAUAAGCGGAGGA
rnacentral:misc_RNA from 1 species